GCUGCACCUAGGGAUGUUGCAGAUGUAGCUGCUGUGUCACAUGUACGUCAUUUGGUGGCAGAGAGGAGAGAAGCUAUGUCUAAGUUCAGUAUUCAUACCUAUUAACACCCGAAUGAUCAGUAGCCUAACAUU
ensembl:snoRNA